GAGUUUGAUCAUGGCUCAGAUUGAACGCCGGUGGUAGGCUUAACACAUGCAAGUCGUGCGAGAAAGUAUCUUCGGAUAUGAGUAGAGCGGCGGACGGGUGAGUAACGCAUAGGAAUCUACCUAGUAGAAGGGGAUAGCCCGAGGAAACUCGGAUUAAUACCGUAUACCUCCUUAGGGAGAAAGAGGGCCUCUCUUGAUGCUCUCGCUAUUAGAUGAGCCUGCGUAAGAUUAGCUUGUUGGUGAGGUAAUGGCUCACCAAGGCUGCGAUCUUUAGCUGGUCUGAGAGGACGAUCAGCCACAUUGGGACUGAGACACGGCCCAGACUCCUACGGGAGGCAGCAGUGGGGAAUAUUGGACAAUGGGCGCAAGCCUGAUCCAGCCAUACCGCGUGUGUGAAGAAGGCCUUCGGGUUGUAAAGCACUUUAAGCAGGGAGAAAAAGUUAUAAGUUAAUACCUUAUAACCGUGAUGUUACCUGCAGAAUAAGCACCGGCUAAUUCCGUGCCAGCAGCCGCGGUAAUACGGAAGGUGCAAGCGUUAAUCGGAAUUACUGGGCGUAAAGCGCGCGUAGGUGGUUUGUUAAGUUGGAUGUGAAAGCCCUGGGCUCAACCUAGGAACUGCAUCCAAAACUAACUCACUAGAGUACGAUAGAGGGAGGUAGAAUUCAUAGUGUAGCGGUGGAAUGCGUAGAUAUUAUGAAGAAUACCGGUGGCGAAGGCGGCCUCCUGGAUCUGUACUGACACUGAGGUGCGAAAGCGU
rnacentral:rRNA from 1 species